rnacentral:tRNA from 1 species
GCCGGGGUGGUGAAACUGGUAGACACAGGGGAUUCAAAAUCCCCCGCCUUCGCAGGCUUGCGGGUUCGAGUCCCGCCCCCGGUACCA